UUAUUGGAGAGUUUGAUCCUGGCUCAGGACGAACGCUGGCGGCGUGCCUAAUACAUGCAAGUCGAGCGAACCAAUGGGAGCUUGCUCCCUGAGGUUAGCGGCGGACGGGUGAGUAACACGUGGGUAACCUGCCUGUAAGAUUGGGAUAACUCCGGGAAACCGGAGCUAAUACCGGAUAACAUUUUGAACCGCAUGGUUCAAAAUUGAAAGACGGCUUCGGCUGUCACUUACAGAUGGACCCGCGGCGCAUUAGCUAGUUGGUGAGGUAACGGCUCACCAAGGCGACGAUGCGUAGCCGACCUGAGAGGGUGAUCGGCCACACUGGGACUGAGACACGGCCCAGACUCCUACGGGAGGCAGCAGUAGGGAAUCUUCCGCAAUGGACGAAAGUCUGACGGAGCAACGCCGCGUGAACGAUGAAGGCCUUCGGGUCGUAAAGUUCUGUUGUUAGGGAAGAACAAGUACCAGAGUAACUGCUGGUACCUUGACGGUACCUAACCAGAAAGCCACGGCUAACUACGUGCCAGCAGCCGCGGUAAUACGUAGGUGGCAAGCGUUGUCCGGAAUUAUUGGGCGUAAAGCGCGCGCAGGCGGUUUCUUAAGUCUGAUGUGAAAGCCCACGGCUCAACCGUGGAGGGUCAUUGGAAACUGGGGAACUUGAGUGCAGAAGAGGAGAGUGGAAUUCCACGUGUAGCGGUGAAAUGCGUAGAGAUGUGGAGGAACACCAGUGGCGAAGGCGACUCUCUGGUCUGUAACUGACGCUGAGGCGCGAAAGCGUGGGGAGCGAACAGGAUUAGAUACCCUGGUAGUCCACGCCGUAAACGAUGAGUGCUAAG
rnacentral:rRNA from 1 species